CUCCGAGCAUAUCCCGGCUGCAGACCCUACUUCUUCCUGACCGUACCGAACUCGAGGGACGCCGUACGCGGCGGGAGGCCGCCCGUCUCCUGGCUCGAUGCCGCAGCCCGGGCACCCCUGCUGAUUAGUACCACGCAUUGCCCCCUCUCGCCCCGCUGUCUCCAGCCUGCGGCUCACCCACACGCACUUGGGGGCACCCCCGGAGCCACCCCGAGCAGCGCCGCAUCUGCCGGGGGCAGGCCUGGCCUCGGCCCACCCGCAGCAGCUGCGUGGCGAGCCCUGCGUCUGCCCCGCCGCCUCCGGCACCCGACGGGUGCCUCUUCUCCGGCUGCCUCGUCCAGCAGCGGUGGUCGUCACUUCCAACCCCUAGGCCGGGGGGGGCUGCUUGGGAAGGAGCUCGGCUCGCCACCACGGGUGGCUAACGGAGGUGACUUGUCCUGUACGGCAGCUACCUCAUCGCCGGGUGAGGGCCGGACGAGAACUGUAGGAAAGCAGAUUUGCCGAGUGACGUGCUCCCAGGAAGCCAGCUCCUUCCCUGCUCCGUCCGCAGGACACGCUGCUCAGCACCGCGGUGACACGGGCACGUCCGGCCAGGAGAAAACUGCCCCCAGCCCGACUCUACACUACUGCUCGCAUGAAAUUCGGGGAGAGAGAAUGGCAGCCGAGGAGGGGGAGGGAGAAAAGCCACCUUUCCCAGAAGGGGAACAAUGCUGGCAUACCCAGUGUUUGCCGGGGGGGCCAGGGACCAUCCCCUACACCUUGGCAUCCUCCCUGUCUGAGCAGCCGUGCCACUCAGUUCUGCCUCUGCAAUUGGGACAGCCCAAGUGCACGAUGCUGGAAACCCCAGUGCCACCAGGCAUGGGCCAGUGCCCCAGGGUGGGAAGAGGGACACAGCACCUGGGUAGCACCACCGGGCGGCUAAGUCACCGGGAAGACAAGAUCGGUUUAUGUUGUUUCUAUUUCAGCCUGGGCAGGGCUAGACUACAGCAAGUCUUGACAACCCUCCUUGUUCAAACACAAGUCUAUUUGCUUUAAUUAAGGUAAGCUAGGGAAAGAGUUAAAACUAUGAAAUUGUUGACUGAGAAUGCAUCUAUGCCCUAGUUUCCCUCUGUACUGCUCUCAUAGUACCCCCACCCUGCAUAUUUCUUCUAUUAAAUACUUUACAUUUAGAGAGAGGAAGGGGUGCUGAGGGUCUCAGCCCCAUCUUCCCAUUUGGGGGACUGCUGUAACACACAAAACAAUGUCCCACGCUAAUACUAACCAUGGGAGUUCAGCAGGCAGCCUCCAAACCACUAAUCUGAGCAUAAACCAGCUAUACCUCUGAGCAGCCCCACAAGGGCAAAGCAGGGGUAUUCACCCAGGUACGCUUAUUGAAGUGGUGGUUGGGAAAUGCUACAGGUUCUUAACGUCAUUGUCUCCUGAAUGGUAGCACAUCCAUACGUACAACGAUUGAGAUAGGUGUGCAAUCUGAUUGCUUUUAUUGAGUAAUAGUCUGAUAGCUACAAUGGUGAAUUAGAAGAAGAAGAAGAAAAAAAAAAAAACACAAAAAACCGAUCUCCUAAAAAAAAAAUCAAUCCAGAUUUCCCCAUAUUUUGGGAAAGAAGCUGAAGAAAACAUUCUACACUGUAGAAGACAGCCGUAACUGCUGAUAUCCAUGCUUUGACACUGGAACCGAGCGACUGCAGUUCUGCAGCGUGGAGUCCUAAAGCCUCAGCCAAAAGAGGCUUAGCACUAAUAGCAUGGAUAUAUCACCACCGGGAAGAUGUUAACAUGUUAACAAAGAUUCUGGGAUACCAAUCUGGUAUAAUCAGCAAAUUACUGGGUUCCUAUGAAAGAUGUGGCAUUUCUCCUUAAUAUCAGCUUUUAGAGAACUUUGAAAAACAAUGUUUUAAAGUGAUUGCUUUCAGUUCCCCUUUCCUUGCAGAAAAGCACAGAAAUUAGAGUUCAAUAAAAACUGAAUGGAUGAUCGCUUUUUUGACUGG
ensembl:lncRNA